GGGAAGGAUGAGAAGCUUCGACCAAGGUUCGAUUCGAGCGUCAGCGAGAAAGCGUUGCCGCAGGCAACGACCCGAAGGGCGAAGCGCGCAGCGCUGAGUCAUCCUUCCCCCACCACCA
rnacentral:sRNA from 1 species